AAUGUUAAAUAGUGUAUUGAUAAUUUUUAAAUUGUUUAAAUUUUCGUAGCUAAUGUAGUAUCGGAAACAUCGACAAAGAAAGGAAAAGAGAAAGUGGACGAAGAGUAACUUCAGAAUUACGUGUCGGGCUAGUCGAAUAUAAUUGGCAUGCCAUAAGAUUCGAAGCAUUCAGGGAUACUUCGACCUGUAGUCGAUGAGGCACUAUAAGUGUCGUACUGUUACUGUUACUGUGCCGGAUUAAAUUCAAAUGAGGUUAGGUACAAAAGUGACUAACGUCUCAGCAUCCAAGCCAACUCUUGAACUCAAAUACUUGGUGAUGUAUCUUAUCUUAAGAAAUGGCAUGUACCUAGGUUGUCUUUGAUGUUAUUUUGAAUAUAAGUGAUGUUAAUGGAUAGUUAAUAAAUGUAAAGUGUAUGUUAUAAUAUAUUCCAUUUUGAAUUGAUUUGAAUGGUUAUUAAAAUA